ACUGCGAGUGAAGCGGCAAAAGCUCAAAUUUGAAAUCUGGUACCUUUGGGUGCCCGAGUUGUAAUUUGGAGAGGCAACUUCGAGGGAGGCGCUGGCCUAAGUUCCUUGGAACAGGACGUCACAGAGGGUGAGAAUCCCGUGCUUGGCUGGCUGUCCUCCUUCAUGUGAAGUGUCUUCGACGAGUCGAGUUGUUUGGGAAUGCAGCUCAAAAUGGGUGGUAAACUCCAUCUAAGGCUAAAUAUUGGCGAGAGACCGAUAGCGCACAAGUAGAGUGAUCGAAAGAUGAAAAGCACUUUGAAAAGAGAGUUAAAAAGUACGUGAAAUUGUUGAAAGGGAAGCGCUUGAGACCAGACUCGGUGAUUGGUGAUCAGCGGUUGCUUUUGCUCCGUGCACUUGCCUUUUACUGGGCCAGCAUCAGUUGUGACGGCGGGAUAAAGACUCAGGGAAUGUAGCUCUCUUCGGGGAGUGUUAUAGCCCUGGGUGUAAUGCCGCCUGUUACGACUGAGGACCGCGCUUCGGCUAGGAUGCUGGCAUAAUGGUCUUCAGCGACCCGUCUUGAAACACGGACCAAGGAGUCUAACAUCUAUGCGAGUGUUCGGGUGUAAAACCCCUACGCGUAAUGAAAGUGAACGGAGGUGGGAACUCUUUGGAGUGCACCAUCGACCGAUCCUGAUGUCUUCGGAUGGAUUUGAGUAGGAGCAUAGCUGUUGGGACCCGAAAGAUGGUGAA
rnacentral:rRNA from 1 species